rnacentral:rRNA from 1 species
AACGAACGCUGGCGGCAUGCCUAACACAUGCAAGUCGAACGAUACCUUCGGGUCUAGUGGCGCACGGGUGCGUAACGCGUGGGAACCUGCCCUUAGGUUCGGAAUAACUCCCCGAAAGGGGUGCUAAUACCGGAUAAUGUCUUCGGACCAAAGAUUUAUCGCCUUUGGAUGGGCCCGCGUUGGAUUAGCUAGUUGGUAGGGUAAAAGCCUACCAAGGCGAUGAUCCAUAGCUGGUCUGAGAGGAUGAUCAGCCACACUGGGACUGAGACACGGCCCAGACUCCUACGGGAGGCAGCAGUGGGGAAUAUUGGACAAUGGGCGAAAGCCUGAUCCAGCAAGGCCGCGUGAGUGAUGAAGGCCUUAGGGUUGUAAAGCUCUUUUACCCGGGAUGAUAAUGACAGUACCGGGAGAAUAAGCUCCGGCUAACUCCGUG